rnacentral:pre_miRNA from 1 species
GAGGGGUUAAGAGUUCAUUCGGCUGUCCAGAUGUACCCAAGUACCCUGUUAUUUGGCAAUACAAUACAUCUGGGCAACUGAUUGAACUUUUCGCUUCUC